rnacentral:rRNA from 1 species
AUGCUCCUCGUCGACGGCGAGCCCGUCCCCUGCUCCACCCCCGAGGGGAGCAGCGGGAGGGAGCUCGUGGCGGCGCUCAUGGGGAACCCCGGGCUGCGCGCCGCGUCCGAGCGGCUCAGGGCCGCGCCGGAGAGGCGGGUCCCGUCGGGGCCGGAGGGGCCCAGGCACGUGUACGUGUUCCAGCGGGAGUACGCCACGGUCGAUCCGGCGCGCGUCGAGUUAGUGGGCACAGAUGAGAUGACUACAUGUGUGGGUGUUGCGAUUCGCAACAACAAGACUGGAAUGACUUCCAUUAGCCAUAUGGACUUCCCAAAGAUUGUAGAAGGAGGAUUCAAACAGAUGCUAGAAUUACUUGGUGAUGACGACGAACCAUUUGAUGUUCACCUGAUUGGUGGCUUCGAUGAUGCUUCUACAAAGGUAGUCUAUUCUUCUGGAGGAAAGCACAGCAUACAGGAAGGAUACUCCCAUCCACUUUGUUGCAAGAUAGUUGAAGUGCUGCAUAAAUCCCAGCAACGGUUCCACCUCCGGUCUUUCUGUGUCCUUGGGAUCAACACUAUGACUGAUUCUUACGGGAAUGCACGACCCAUAGUUGGUGGAUUUGUGAUGCAAACAUCAUCGGGAGUUGUUACUCCUGCAAGCUUUGACAUCACUUCAAGGUGUCCUGAUGAAAUAGUCAGAAGAAUUCGUGUGAGUGUUUCUUCUUAUGAUCCAAAUUGGCGAGGAAAGUUACUGGAGACUUACGACACACAUGCUGAUAUUUUCCAAAUUGCCCCUGCCUGCUGGAUGCCAGAUUGGGCAGAAAUGGCAUCCUCACUUAACCAGCUUUCAGACUCUGAAGUCCUGCUUCAAUGCUCCACCUCUCCAGCUGCAGAACCACCUCAUUUUGUGGAAACUGAGAGAAGGAUAUGGAAAUACUUGAUCGAGAACCCAGACUGGGAAGAUGCAUUUCCAAAGUACAAGCCCCGGGUCUUCCACUGGACGAAUGAUGGCAGGUGGUCAAGGCACUCUUAG